UUUCAAAAUAUAAUACAUAAUUUUUGAGGGGUCACAGUGGGUAAAGUAGCUGUUACAAACGGAUAUACACACAGUUACCGCUCAAACAGUUAAAGUUAACGGUAGAUUUGAACGGAAUAAUGACUAGGGGUUACAACUUGCACGGGAAUGUUAAGUUUAGGGUGCAUAUUGACACAUUUUAAAGUUUAGGUACUAAACUGCGAUUUGGAGCAAACUUAGGGGUUACAAAGUGUCAUUAACUC
rnacentral:lncRNA from 1 species